UUGCACUGUGCUGAGAGUGGCGGACUGGUGAGUAACACGUAGGUGAUCUACCUUGAGGCCUGGGAUAGCCUGUGGAAACACAGGGUAAGACCGGAUGAGCCCCUGUACUUGCGGGUAGAGGGGGAAAGGUGCUAUGGCACCGCCUUAAGAUGAGCCUGCGUCCCAUUAGUUAGUUGGUGGGGUAAAGGCCUACCAAGGCGACGAUGGGUAGCCGGCCUGAGAGGGUGAUCGGCCACACUGGGACUGAGACACGGCCCAGACUCCUACGGGAGGCAGCAGCUAAGAAUCUUCCGCAAUGGACGAAAGUCUGACGGAGCGACGCCGCGUGAACGAAGAAGGCCGGAAGGUUGUAAAGUUCUUUUGCGGGUGAAGAAUAAGGCGAGGAGGGAAUGCCUCGCUGAUGACGUUAGCCUGUGAAUAAGCCCCGGCUAAUUACGUGCCAGCAGCCGCGGUAACACGUAAGGGGCGAGCGUUGUUCGGAAUUAUUGGGCGUAAAGGGCGUGUAGGCUGUUUUGUAAGCCUGGUGUGAAAGUGCACGGCUUAACUGUGUAUGUGCGCUGGGAACUGCAAGACUAGAGUCCGGAAGGGGGAGGUAGAAUUCCUGGUGUAGGGGUGAAAUCUGUAGAUAUCAGGAAGAAUACCGGUGGCGAAGGCGACCUCCUGGUCCUGGACUGACGCUGAGGCGCGAAAGCGUGGGGAGCGAACAGGAUUAGAUACCCUGGUAGUCCACGCUGUAAACGAUGUGCACUAGGUGUUGGGGCAAGAGCUUCAGUGCCGAAGCGAACGCGAUAAGUGCACCGCCUGGGGAGUAUGCUCGCAAGGGUGAAACUCAAAGGAAUUGACGGGGGCCCGCACAAGCGGUG
rnacentral:rRNA from 1 species